GCGGGUGAAAAGCCCGCUCGCCGGAAGACCAAGGGUUCCUGUCCAACGUUAAUCGGGGCAGGGUGAGUCGACCCCUAAGGCGAGGCCGAAAGGCGUAGUCGAUGGGAAACAGGUUAAUAUUCCUGUACUUGGUGUUACUGCGAAGGGGGGACGGAGAAGGCUAUGUUGGCCGGGCGACGGUUGUCCCGGUUUAAGCGUGUAGGCUGGUUUUCCAGGCAAAUCCGGAAAAUCAAGGCUGAGGCGUGAUGACGAGGCACUACGGUGCUGAAGCAACAAAUGCCCUGCUUCCAGGAAAAGCCUCUAAGCAUCAGGUAACAUCAAAUCGUACCCCAAACCGACACAGGUGGUCAGGUAGAGAAUACCAAGGCGCUUGAGAGAACUCGGGUGAAGGAACUAGGCAAAAUGGUGCCGUAACUUCGGGAGAAGGCACGCUGAUAUGUAGGUGAAGUCCCUUGCGGAUGGAGCUGAAAUCAGUCGAAGAUACCAGCUGGCUGCAACUGUUUAUUAAAAACACAGCACUGUGCAAACACGAAAGUGGACGUAUACGGUGUGACGCCUGCCCGGUGCCGGAAGGUUAAUUGAUGGGGUCAGCGCAAGCGAAGCUCUUGAUCGAAGCCCCGGUAAACGGCGGCCGUAACUAUAACGGUCCUAAGGUAGCGAAAUUCCUUGUCGGGUAAGUUCCGACCUGCACGAAUGGCGUAAUGAUGGCCAGGCUGUCUCCACCCGAGACUCAGUGAAAUUGAACUCGCUGUGAAGAUGCAGUGUACCCGCGGCAAGACGGAAAGACCCCGUGAACCUUUACUAUAGCUUGACACUGAACAUUGAGCCUUGAUGUGUAGGAUAGGUGGGAGGCUUUGAAGUGUGGACGCCAGUCUGCAUGGAGCCGACCUUGAAAUACCACCCUUUAAUGUUUGAUGUUCUAACGUUGGCCCGUAAUCCGGGUUGCGGACAGUGUCUGGUGGGUAGUUUGACUGGGGCGGUCUCCUCCUAAAGAGUAACGGAGGAGCACGAAGGUUGGCUAAUCCUGGUCGGACAUCAGGAGGUUAGUGCAAUGGCAUAAGCCAGCUUGACUGCGAGCGUGACGGCGCGAGCAGGUGCGAAAGCAGGUCAUAGUGAUCCGGUGGUUCUGAAUGGAAGGGCCAUCGCUCAACGGAUAAAAGGUACUCCGGGGAUAACAGGCUGAUACCGCCCAAGAGUUCAUAUCGACGGCGGUGUUUGGCACCUCGAUGUCGGCUCAUCACAUCCUGGGGCUGAAGUAGGUCCCAAGGGUAUGGCUGUUCGCCAUUUAAAGUGGUACGCGAGCUGGGUUUAGAACGUCGUGAGACAGUUCGGUCCCUAUCUGCCGUGGGCGCUGGAGAACUGAGGGGGGCUGCUCCUAGUACGAGAGGACCGGAGUGGACGCAUCACUGGUGUUCGGGUUGUCAUGCCAAUGGCACUGCCCGGUAGCUAAAUGCGGAAGAGAUAAGUGCUGAAAGCAUCUAAGCACGAAACUUGCCCCGAGAUGAGUUCUCCCUGACCCUUUAAGGGUCCUGAAGGAACGUUGAAGACGACGACGUUGAUAGGCCGGGUGUGUAAGCGCAGCGAUGCGUUGAGCUAACCGGUACUAAUGAACCGUGAGGCUUAACCUU
rnacentral:rRNA from 2 species